rnacentral:rRNA from 1 species
AAUAGAUACCCUGGUAGUCCAUGCCGUAAACGUUGGGAACUAGAUGUAGGGCCUGUUCCACGGGUUCUGUGUCGUAGCUAACGCAUUAAGUUCCCCGCCUGGGGAGUACGGCCGCAAGGCUAAAACUCAAAGGAAUUGACGGGGGCCCGCACAAGCGGCGGAGCAUGCGGAUUAAUUCGAUGCAACGCGAAGAACCUUACCAAGGCUUGACAUAUAGAAGAACACUGCAGAGAUGCAGGACUCUUUGGACACUUCUAUACAGGUGGUGCAUGGUUGUCGUCAGCUCGUGUCGUGAGAUGUUCGGUUAAGUCCGGCAACGAGCGCAACCCUCGUCCUAUGUUGCCAGCACGUAAUGGUGGGAACUCAUGGGAUACUGCCGUGGUCAACACGGAGGAAGGUGGGGAUGACGUCAAAUCAUCAUGCCCCUUAUGUCUUGGGCUUCACGCAUGCUACAAUGGCCGGUACAAAGGGCUGCGAUACCGCAAGGUGAGCGAAUCCCAAAAAGCCGGUCUCAGUUCGGAUUGGGGUC